CGGAAUUGUAGUUUAAUAUAAAACACUAGCAUUGGAAGCUAGAAAUUAGGUGGCACAAUCCUACAUUUCGA
rnacentral:tRNA from 1 species